AGAGUUUGAUCCUGGCUCAGAAUCAACGCUGGCGGCGUGCCUGACACAUGCAAGUCGAACGAGAAAGUGGAGCAAUCCAUGAGUACAGUGGCGAACGGGUGAGUAACACGUGACUAACCUGCCUUCGAGUGGGGGAUAACCUCGGGAAACCGGGGCUAAUACCGCAUAAGAUCCUAAGGGUGCAAUUCCCAUGGGACCAAAGGGGUAAGACGCUUGAAGAGGGGGUCGCGGCUGAUUAGCUAGUUGGUGAGGUAACGGCUCACCAAGGCGAAGAUCGGUAGCCGGCCUGAGAGGGCGCACGGCCACACUGGAACUGAAACACGGUCCAGACUCCUACGGGAGGCAGCAGUGGGGAAUUUUGCGCAAUGGGGGAAACCCUGACGCAGCAACGCCGCGUGGAGGAUGAAGCCCUUUGGGGCGUAAACUCCUUUCGAUCGGGACGAUUAUGACGGUACCGGAUGAAGAAGCACCGGCUAACUCUGUGCCAGCAGCCGCGGUAAUAC
rnacentral:rRNA from 1 species